rnacentral:lncRNA from 1 species
CCUCAGGAGUGUGCACAAGAGGACGUCGUCCGGCAGGGGCAGAGCCGGCCCGCUCCGGACACCCCGGCUUAGCAGGGGUCUGGAAGCCCAGCAGCGCAGCAGAACUCCGGAGCGCCUCCCAGGAGCUCUGCGCGUGCCAAGUGUUCUGCAGGAACUCAUUUACCCUCGCGACAAACCUGCAGUGGGCCCUGAAUGCUAGACCGUGAGGCACCCAAGCCCAGGUACCGUCUUACUCGUCUCUGGACCCCUCUGAGGACCUGGCACAUGGCAGGUACUCAAUAAAUGUUGAUGCAUGAACGAAAGACAGCAGCGGUUUAUCGACAGCGUCUCCCGCAUCUGAAGUUGGCUGCCUGCAUCCCUGAGGUGCCCCUUAACCUGUUCUUCUGUCCCCUGUCGCUCCUGUAACUUGUUCAAAUGCAGGGGCUCCAUCAGAUGCAGGUUUGAGUUUGGGGCAAGACCACUUCCCGGUGGUACAUGUUCCUCCCUGCUGAGGCUCACACUGUCUGUCUGGCUCCUUGAGAUGUAAGCAGCUGUGGCUGCCUCAUCCAUUCAUUAGAGGUUGCACAAUGAUGAGUCUCUAAUUUUACCCUUCCUUCUACAUUUUCAAGCAGGUGUAAGUCUAUAAAUAGAAAUUUACCCUCAUCAGCCAUUUGAUUACCCCGGGGCACCACUGCAGUAGGAAAGCUUGAGUUAAUUACGAUUCUUUACCUUUCUUUAGGAGCUUAAAUCCUUUUUGGUAUAAUAAAUAGGUGUUUGCAGGGUGGGUAGGCACCUUAGUCUGAGCCUCUGCCGCCCGCCUGUAAGACAGGGAUGCUGCUGAGCCCACAGCCUUACUCCGGCCUGGGGGCAGAGCUCGGGUCUCUCGUCAAAGGCUGGGCACGCCUGCAGCCCAGCCUCGGUCCCAGACCCAGCGCUGGAAGCAGGCAGAAGCCAGCAGGGCCUUCCCUGAGCGAUGCCCACGCCCGGGAUGCGAGGGCCUCCUCCAAGGGCCGCCAUGGGGACUAGACGAGAUGACGCGGCCCCGGCCGACGCGGGUGGACCCAUGGAGGGGUCCUCUCCCUGCUCUCCCGUUCUGCCUCUCAGCAUCCCCCAGGGUACCCGUGCACAAACGCACAUACACUCCCCGGGCACGGUCCCUCCGGGCGGCCCUAUUGUUGAGCGGCCGGGCGG